rnacentral:lncRNA from 1 species
GACACCCCCCAGUGGCAGCCUUACUGCCUCUUUGGGAAGUGGUGGGUCCCAGAGGUUAGGCCAUGUGAUCAAGCUGCGGAUUGAGGUGAACAUGUGUAAUGGCCUCGCCACUGAGUAUCCACGCUGCUUCCCACUCUGUUGGCAAGUUCUGCAGAUGUCCUCCAGCACCCAACAGUCACCCACAGCCCCGUCUGCCUGGCUGCACACAGGCAGCUUCAGAUUGGUAGAAACGUGAGGCCAAGCAUCUCUCAAGCCAGUGAAUAGCUUUCCAGGGACCAGUGGAAUUCAUAAGCAUCUCGGGAAGCACCGCGAUUCCUGAUUGGUCCUCUCAGUCCUGUGCCGCACCCACUGGCUGUGACGUCAUCCACAGCUCAUUGUUUUGAGGCCAUGCUGGCCAAUCAGCUGGGAGGAAUCUCAGCAUUUCCUCAGUGACUAGGGUGGCAUGUGCUGUGCGUAGAGAACCGACGUCAGAGACAACUUCAUAUGGCAAUUCACUUCCCCUCCUCUUUAUCGCAUACACUGAACAGCAGAAAUAAUGAAAAGCUUCAUAUCCAGUAGAGAACAGUCAAACAUCACGUAAAAACGUAGCAAUACCACUCAACUGCGGGCGGCUUUCUGUCACUUUCAGCUCUUGGGCUGCUUCUAACGGGGCUGGACGGCAUCCGCCAUCCGCCGUGCUCGCUCCUUCCCGGCCCAAGCUCGGCCCCUUCCUGUGAUGAAGGUGAGCCAGGUGUGGACGCGCUCCCUAGGCCGUGCCGGGCUGCGGAAGGCGGGAACCUGCACCCCUGGAACCUGUGCUGCAGUCUUGCUGGCCAUGCAUUCUGGCUCGUGCUCCAGCGCCACGGACCUGAUUCUCUCCAUUGUUACUCCCUUCCCAGAACAACAGGGUGUUUCGCUAUGUAUUCCAGGUUGGCUUGAGAUCCUCCUGUCUCAGCCUCCCAAGUGCUGGGAUUAUAGGUGUGUACCACCGCACCUGGCUCUGUGGAGUUACCAUGCAUUGUGAUUUCUGGCAAUAAAAGUAUUCAUUGG